UGCCCUAUUAUUCUAAUUAUUUAAUAAAAAAAUUAUUAAAAAACCUUAACAAAUUUGACGGUAUUUUAACUCCAAAGGAGUUUGUUUAAACGAAAAUACACGACUUACCUUACUUAUAUUUAUUUUGUAUACCGCCGUAUAGGUUAUAUCUUAUAUAUAACCAUAAAGAUUAUAUUCUAAAUUUCAGGUCAUGGCACAGAAUAUAUAAGCAAAAAUGAACUACAUUUAUAUAUUAUACCUAUAGAUUUUAUGAAAAUUUAUCUAGAGAUGAAUUUGUUAGUAAAUAGAAAAUAAUUUAUUCUAUUGAUAAAAAAUAAAAUAUGU
rnacentral:rRNA from 1 species